rnacentral:rRNA from 1 species
CCUUUGUGCCUAUAAAAUCUAUACAACUUUCAGCAACGGAUCUCUUGGCUCUCGCAUCGAUGAAGAACGCAGCGAAAUGCGAUAAGUAAUGUGAAUUGCAGAAUUCAGUGAAUCAUCGAAUCUUUGAACGCACCUUGCGCUCCUUGGUAUUCCGAGGAGCAUGCCUGUUUGAGUGUCAUUA